UACGUAGGGUGCAAGCGUUAAUCGGAAUUACUGGGCGUAAAGCGUGCGCAGGCGGUGAUGUAAGACAGGUGUGAAAUCCCCGGGCUUAACCUGGGAACUGCAUUUGUGACUGUCAUCGCUGGAGUGCGGCAGAGGGGAUGGAAUUCCGCGUGUAGCAGUGAAAUGCGUAGAUAUGCGGAGGAACACCGAUGGCGAAGGCAAUCCCCUGGGCCUGCACUGACGCUCAUGCACGAAAGCGUGGGGAGCAAACAGG
rnacentral:rRNA from 1 species